GGGAAGUGCGAACGUAGAGGGUGAUAUUCCCGUACACGAAAGGGCACACAUAAUGAUGACGAGUAGGGCGAGGCACGUGAAACCUUGUCUGAAUAUGGGGGGACCAUCCUCCAAGGCUAAAUACUCCUGACUGACCGAUAGUGAACCAGUACCGUGAGGGAAAGGCGAAAAGAACCCCUGUGAGGGGAGUGAAAUAGAUCCUGAAACCGCAUGCAUACAAGCAGUGGGAGCACCUUCGUGGUGUGACUGCGUACCUUUUGUAUAAUGGGUCAGCGACUUAUAUUCAGUAGCGAGGUUAACCGUAUAGGGGAGCCGUAGAGAAAUCGAGUCUUAAUAGGGCGUUUAGUUGCUGGGUAUAGACCCGAAACCAGGCGAUCUAUCCAUGAGCAGGUUGAAGGUUGGGUAACACUAACUGGAGGACCGAACCCACUGUCGUUGAAAAGCCAGGGGAUGACUUGUGGAUAGGGGUGAAAGGCUAAUCAAGCCUGGUGAUAGCUGGUUCUCCCCGAAAGCUAUUUAGGUAGCGCCUCGGACGAAUACCAUAGGGGGUAGAGCACUGUUUCGGCUAGGGGGUCAUCCCGACUUACCAAACCGAUGCAAACUCCGAAUACCUAUGAGUACUAUCCGGGAGACAGACUGCGGGUGCUAACGUCCGUAGUCAAGAGGAAAACAAUCCAGACCGCCAGCUAAGGCCCCAAAAUCAUAGUUAAGUGGGAAACGAUGUGGGAAGGCAUAGACAGCUAGGAGGUUGGCUUAGAAGCAGCCACCCUUUAAAGAAAGCGUAAUAGCUCACUAGUCGAGUCGGCCUGCGCGGAAGAUGUAA
rnacentral:rRNA from 1 species